rnacentral:rRNA from 1 species
UACGUAGGGGGCAAGCGUUGUCCGGAAUCAUUGGGCGUAAAGAGCGUGUAGGCGGCCCGGUAAGUCCGCUGUGAAAGUCCAGGGCUCAACCCUGGGAUGCCGGUGGAUACUGUCGGGCUCGAGUCCGGAAGAGGAGUGUGGAAUUCCUGGUGGUAGCGGUGAAAUGCGCAGAUAUCAGGAAGAACACCCGUGGCGAAGGCGGCUCUCUGGGACGGUACUGACGCUGAGACG